rnacentral:rRNA from 1 species
GCUUGUCUCAAAGAUUAAGCCAUGCAUGUCUAAGUAUAAACAAUUUUGUACUGUGAAACUGCGAAUGGCUCAUUAUAUCAGUUAUAGUCUACUCGAUAGUACCUUACUACUUGGAUAACCGUAGUAAUUCUAGAGCUAAUACAUGCAUCAAUACCCAACUGCUUGUCGGACGGGUAGCAUUUAUUAGAUUGAAACCAAUGCAGUCUUCGGGCUGGUAUUGUGUUGAGUCAUAAUAACUGUGCGGACCGUACUUUUGUGCGGUAAAUCGAUUGAGUUUCUGCCCUAUCAGCUUUGGAUGGUAGGAUAUGGGCCUACCAUGGCGUUAACGGGUAACGGGGAAUUAGGGUUUGAUUCCGGAGAGGGAGCCUUAGAAACGGCUACCACAUCCAAGGAAGGCAGCAGG